rnacentral:rRNA from 1 species
UACGUAGGGUGCAAGCGUUGUUCGGAAUCAUUGGGCGUAAAGCGUGUGUAGGUGGCUAGCUAAGUUGAUUGUGAAAUCCCUGGGCUCAACCGAGGAAGUGCAGUCAAAAACUAGCAGGCUAGAAGAUGGCAGAGGAAGGUGGAAUUCCAAGUGUAGAGGUGAAAAUUCGUAGAUAUUUUGGAGGAAUACCGGCGGCGAAGGCGGCCUUCUGGACCAUUCUUGACACUGAGACACGAAAGCGUGGGUAGCAAACAGG